UGGGAAUUUGGACAAUGGGCGAAGCCUGAUCCAGCAAUGCCGCGUGUGUGAAGAAGGCCUUCGGGUUGUAAAGCACUUUUGUCCGGAAAGAAAAUCCUUGGCUCUAAUACAGUCGGGGGAUGACGGUACCGGAAGAAUAAGCACCGGCUAACUACGUGCCAGCAGCCGCGGUAAUACGUAGGGUGCAAGCGUUAAUCGGAAUUACUGGGCGUAAAGCGUGCGCAGGCGGUUUGCUAAGACCGAUGUGAAAUCCCCGGGCUCAACCUGGGAACUGCAUUGGUGACUGGCAGGCUAGAGUAUGGCAGAGGGGGGUAGAAUUCCACGUGUAGCAGUGAAAUGCGUAGAGAUGUAGAGGAAUACCGAUGGCGAAGGCAGCCCCCUGGGCCAAUACUGACGCUCAUGCACGAAAAGCGUGGGGGAGCAAAACAGGAUUAGAUACCCUGGUAGUCCACGCCCU
rnacentral:rRNA from 1 species